rnacentral:lncRNA from 1 species
AUUUCAAUAUUUACACAGAUGAUGAAAUUUUCAACUUUUUAGUAGACACUUCAUAUAUGAAAUCUGAAUAUUAGAAUUUGCUUUUCUCACCGACCGUCACUAGAGCAAGCGACAAAGGGCUUGGUGGUUGAUACCUGAGUCCCAAGUUUGAAUCCUAGUUGAUUCACAUUUCCAGCUAAGUUUAUUUCUAAAUAAAAUAAACGAAGCGGAUAGCGUGCUAUCUAUCUCUAAAAAAAAAAAACUUGCUUUUCUCUGGUCUUAUGUUUUUUUUUUCCACAUAAAGAAUGAUUUUACCAUUCAUCUAUCUAUUAACCUAUAUGAAUCCUUAAUGUUUGUUGCCACGUGACAAGUUCUUCUACACCCUCACUAGCAUGUGACCCUUCUUAUUCUCUUCACCAAAUCUUCAAUAUGCAUUUUAACGGAUUCACUGACUAAACUUUCAAUUAGUAUAAUUAAAUAGUCCACUACCUUCUACAAUUUUAUCGUUUCUAUUUAUAAUUAUUUAUCAUGACCAUUUUCCUUUCCUCCAUUAUACUUUUAAUUAAUGCAAACGGUCUCAUUACUAAAUUUCUAAUUAGUAUGUUUAAAUGGUCUCACUAUCAUCUACAAUUCUAACCUCUCUAAUCUCCAAUUAUUCAUCAUGGCAUUUUCUUCCAUCCGCCGGACUUUCAAUUCUUUAUUUUUAAUUUACUCAUCAAUUUUCUACUCUCAUAUUUUGCUAUACACCAUCGCCUCCUUCCCGCGCUCCCUUCUUCUCUCUCACUAAUGCGCGUCCACUUCCCCCCUCCGUCGCGGUUGGAGGGAUCGUCGUUGCCUCGUCGUCGCCGUCACUAUCACCAUCGCUGGAGAAGUCAUUAUCAGACUCAUAUCCGGCGCCAACAGUGAGAAACCUUUGAUGAAUAUAACAAAUAAGAUACAGAAGAUAAUGUUUAAUAUUUUUUAUUACUAAUUAUUUUCUCA